CAAAAUAAGUGCACUGUAAUCUCAGAUUAUAGUGAAAAUUUUCAAAUGGAGCUUGAGGAGUGGAUGUAGGUGCUUGGAGUAUAUCGAACAACUAUAAAUCUCUUGUGUUUAUGUGGUGUGCUUGUGUUUACUUACUUUACAUACUUGUUUAGUUGUUAUUAAUUUAUUUUCACUGCUAUUCACUGCAUUUACUAUACACUUAUAGUAUUUUACUUGAUUGUUUUGAAAAACAACACAUAUUUGCUCUAAGAUUUUGAAAAUCCAAUUCACCCCUUCCCCCUCUUGGGUUGUCUAACUGGACGACAAAUAAGUUUAGCAAAAGCAUCCG
rnacentral:lncRNA from 1 species